rnacentral:lncRNA from 1 species
AAAACUCAAUGGUCACACGUGCUCCACGUCACCUAAUAUGUGUUGUCCAAGUGUUAGGCUUGAAAAUUCGCCACAUGUGUAGGAGCGUGUGAGAAUGUGAUCGGUAACAAUGUCUCACAUUGGAAGUUGAAAAAUCUAGUAAGGGCUUAUAAUGAGUUGGGCUACUUCCCCUAUUACCAAUUGGUUUUGAGGUGGAACCUCAACUUCAUUCAUAGACAACAUAUGCUAAAGCUAAAUUUUGGCAAAGUGGUGGUAUAAUAAGCAUGAGAAUGUGCAAACAUAGGCUUAGCCAAGUUGGCUAGAGUGGAUGUGCUUCUCAUUCUACAUUGAUCUGAGUUUGAAUCUCCCUCUCUGUAAUUUAGAUUAAUUUAAAAUAGGCUUUUGCUUGUAUUAAAAAUAAAUAAAUAUAUAUAUGUAUAAAACAAAGCAUGAGAAGGUUUUUCAAAGCGUGGUCGAGGGUGAAAGCCGCUUCGUAUUAGGGCUCUAUAUUGUCUUUGUUAUUAAGGUUAAAGAUGAGUCAUCGGCCAGUGCAAAUUAUGAUGUUGAAGUCUGGGAUCAUUAUGGUUUAUGAGAUUUCAUAUCCUUCCG